UUAAUGUCAAUUCAUAGAAUAUUCACCAUUGAGCAGAAUUAAAUAGACACAGCAGUGUUUUCAGAAGUUUUUGUGAAUGAGGGUUUUCUCGGAUUCACCCAGACGUAGCUUUUAGCACAGUAAUGUACAAAUCAUAGCUUGCAAAGUUGUGUGUGUGUGUGUGUGUGUGUGUGUGUGUGUGUGUGUGUGUGUGUGUGUGUGCGUGUACAAAGGCUCGUUUAUGCUGCAUUUGGAGGUGUGCUGAUUUUAUUUGUGUAGGCAUAACACACCAGCUCCACAGAAACCACAACUCUAACGUCCUUACGGAGAAACAGGAAUCUCUGUCGACUCUGUGUGUCAGAAACCGAGCCGCUGAUCAGAUCCCGUUUGUGGAGUAUGAAAUUUUACAGGACGCAUCCACAGGGAGACUCCAGUACAUCUGAAUCAUCUGAAAUAUCACAGAAUGGUUGCGCUGGUGGUCGAUGCUGCAGCAGAGGAGUUCUGUGUGUUUGGGCCAUGUUGCUGUGCUGUAUCGGGCUCGGAGCUCUGGGAGUCGGCAUGGCCUUAACGCUGGGCGUCUCCAAAGCUCCUGCAUGUGUGAUGUUCUCCUCACCAGUCAUCCUCAAUGUCAUGUUUCAUUACAGUGGUGAAUGUGUUCAAUAAUGUUCAGUGUGCUGCAAUUAACCAACCAAAAGUGCUGUUGAAUGUUGAUGAUAUGCAAUUGGAUUCCUUUAAUUUGAUUAAAUUGGUUUGACAGCUUGUAACAGUGUUCUCUUCCACACACACAUUUCCAACGAGUGCAUUUUACUCCUUAAUAAACAAGUAAACACCAUGUAAAGAGGAAAGACUGCGUACAGAGCACA